rnacentral:rRNA from 1 species
UUCGACCUCAAAUCAGGUAGGACUACCCGCUGAACUUAAGCAUAUCAAUAAGCGGAGGAAAAGAAACCAACAGGGAUUGCCUUAGUAGCGGCGAGUGAAGCGGCAAAAGCUCAAAUUUGAAAUCUGGCACUUUCAGUGUCCGAGUUGUAAUUUGAAGAAGGUAUCUUUGGGUCUGGCUCUUGUUAUGUUUCUUGGAAC